rnacentral:lncRNA from 1 species
CAGCCUUGGAAUUAAGUGAUGUGCUGCUGUGCAACACUUCUGAACUUUGUGGAGGCACAUGAGGUACAAACUGUUGUCCAUUGCUAGAGCCAGGAGACGCACUGGGGGAGCAUGGAUGGGACCGGGGAGGAGGACUAACGCUGCUCAGCCUGGGCAGGGCAGCUUUAUUGACAUAUGACUUAAUGCAGAAACAACCCCCCGCGCAUGUUGAAUAUACGCAGCCUAAUGAGCUUGCACAUACGGAAUACGCCUGUGAUCUUCUCUGCUCAAUCAAGCCAGCCAGGAGACUGGACUCAUUUUUUGUUAAACUGGAAAUCAGACUUCCUUGAAAUAGGUGAACUGGGAAAUCUCUUUGCUAUACAGAAAAUAUUGUUGCUGUGACAAUUGUUGAAAAAAGAAGCCUAUUGGAAAUGAGUCAGGAAGUAGAAGAAAUAGUAGUUCCAGUGUCUGCUCUCAAGUGAAAGGAGUGUGCUUACAGCUCUGAGUUUUUCUAUUCUGGUUUCUCCUGGAAUCUCACACACAUGAGCACACACGCACACACACACACACAGACACACACACAGACACACUCUCAAAGGAUAAAUCAUUAUCUCACCCCAAAAUGAUAAAACAUAAAAUAAAUAUGCCAGCUUCCAUCCAACAGAAAUAAAACUACUUCCA